UGCGCAGGCGGAGCGAUCAGUCAGUGGUGAAAUCCUACGGCUCAACCGUAGAACUGCCAUUGAUACUGUCGUUCUUGAGUAUAGUUGAAGUGGGCGGAAUGUGUCAUGUAGCGGUGAAAUGCAUAGAUAUGACACAGAACACCAAUCGCGAAGGCAGCUCACUAAACUACUACUGACGCUCAGGCACGAAAGCGUGGGUAGCGAACCGGAUUAGAUACCCGAGUAGUCC
rnacentral:rRNA from 1 species